UCGGGGGAGCGAUCACCACGGUGUGGUUCAUGACUGGGGUGAAGUCGUAACAAGGUAGCCGUAGGGGAACCUGCGGCUGGAUCACCUCCUUA
rnacentral:rRNA from 1 species